rnacentral:rRNA from 1 species
AUGAACGCUAGCUACAGGCUUAACACAUGCAAGUCGAGGGGCAGCAUCAUCAAAGCUUGCUUUGAUGGAUGGCGACCGGCGCACGGGUGAGUAACACGUAUCCAACCUGCCGACAACACUGGGAUAGCCUUUCGAAAGAAAGAUUAAUACCGGAUGGCAUAAUUAUUCCGCAUGGGAUAAUUAUUAAAGAAUUUCGGUUGUCGAUGGGGAUGCGUUCCAUUAGGCAGUUGGCGGGGUAACGGCCCACCAAACCUACGAUGGAUAGGGGUUCUGAGAGGAAGGUCCCCCACAUUGGAACUGAGACACGGUCCAAACUCCUACGGGAGGCAGCAGUGAGGAAUAUUGGUCAAUGGACGAGAGUCUGAACCAGCCAAGUAGCGUGAAGGAUGACUGCCCUAUGGGUUGUAAACUUCUUUUAUACGGGAAUAAAGUGAGCCACGUGUGGCUUUUUGUAUGUACCGUAUGAAUAAGGAUCGGCUAACUCCGUGCCAGCAGCCGCGGUAAUACGGAGGAUCCGAGCGUUAUCCGGAUUUAUUGGGUUUAAAGGGAGCGUAGGCGGGUUGUUAAGUCAGUUGUGAAAGUUUGCGGCUCAACCGUAAAAUUGCAGUUGAUACUGGCGACCUUGAGUGCAACAGAGGUAGGCGGAAUUCGUGGUGUAGCGGUGAAAUGCUUAGAUAUCACGAAGAACUCCGAUUGCGAAGGCAGCUUACUGGAUUGUAACUGACGCUGAUGCUCGAAAGUGUGGGUAUCAAACAGGAUUAGAUACCCUGGUAGUCCACACAGUAAACGAUGAAUACUCGCUGUUGGCGAUAUACGGUCAGCGGCCAAGCGAAAGCAUUAAGUAUUCCACCUGGGGAGUACGCCGGCAACGGUGAAACUCAAAGGAAUUGACGGGGGCCCGCACAAGCGGAGGAACAUGUGGUUUAAUUCGAUGAUACGCGAGGAACCUUACCCGGGCUUAAAUUGCAACUGACGGAACCGGAAACGGUUCUUUCUUCGGACAGUUGUGAAGGUGCUGCAUGGUUGUCGUCAGCUCGUGCCGUGAGGUGUCGGCUUAAGUGCCAUAACGAGCGCAACCCUUACGGGUAGUUACCAUCAGGUUAUGCUGGGGACUCUACCCAGACUGCCGUCGUAAGAUGUGAGGAAGGUGGGGAUGACGUCAAAUCAGCACGGCCCUUACGUCCGGGGCUACACACGUGUUACAAUGGGGGGUACAGAAGGCAGCUACACGGCGACGUGGUGCUAAUCCCGAAAGCCUCUCUCAGUUCGGAUUGGAGUCUGCAACCCGACUCCAUGAAGCUGGAUUCGCUAGUAAUCGCGCAUCAGCCACGGCGCGGUGAAUACGUUCCCGGGCCUUGUACACACCGCCCGUCAAGCCAUGAAAGCCGGGGGUACCUGAAGUACGUAACCGCAAGGAGCGUCCUAGGGUAAAACUGGUGAUUGGGGCU